UGGGGAAUAUUGGACAAUGGGCGAAAGCCUGAUCCAGCCAUGCCGCGUGUGUGAAGAAGGUCUUCGGAUUGUAAAGCACUUUAAGUUGGGAGGAAGGGCAUUAACCUAAUACGUUAGUGUUUUGACGUUACCGACAGAAUAAGCACCGGCUAACUCUGUGCCAGCAGCCGCGGAAAUACAGAGGGUGCAAGCGUUAAUCGGAAUUACUGGGCGUAAAGCGCGCGUAGGUGGUUUGUUAAGUUGGAUGUGAAAUCCCCGGGCUCAACCUGGGAACUGCAUUCAAAACUGACUGACUAGAGUAUGGUAGAGGGUGGUGGAAUUUCCUGUGUAGCGGUGAAAUGCGUAGAUAUAGGAAGGAACACCAGUGGCGAAGGCGACCACCUGGACUAAUACUGACACUGAGGUGCGAAAGCGUGGGGAGCAAACA
rnacentral:rRNA from 1 species